rnacentral:lncRNA from 1 species
CCCAAAAGUGCUGCAUUUGCGCGCUGGCUGAGCUAGAGGAGACGAGAGCGGCCGGCGGCCGGCUGGCCGGGGGUUUGGGGGAUUUAUGGGCCGGCAGGAGCACGAGCGCGUAGGCCCCGCCGCCACCACCGCGGUUUCUUUCUCUAUCUCUGUGGGGAUUUAUGGGCCGGCAGGAGCACGAGCGCGUAGGCCCCGCCGCCACCACCGCGGUUUCUUUCUCUAUCUCUGUCAGUGAGAGUGAGGUGAGAGUGGAGCGAGCGAGCGCGUUCUGGCUCGCUCGUACGCUCUGCGCG